CUCACUCACACUUACUAUGCAGCUAGCAUCUUACAGAGCUAGCCGAUAGAAUGGUGGUUAAUCCAGAGGCUGGGAAUGGGUCCAUCGCUGGAGACUCAACACCUCAAGUCUCCCAGAUCGCUGAUGCAGCAAAGGUACCUAACAGAACUCCUCUGUUCCUCAUCCACACUUGGCUUUGGCUCGGUCCACAUGUCUCCAUUUUCCUGGCUUCUUUCCUCUCCUAGAAUGUUCUGGCAACAUUAAUAGAGACUUGUCCACCCGUAGUUACUGUGUAACAGCUGGCUGCCCUCCUGAUUUUACAGCAUCUGGGAUCCGAAAACUUCAAACAGAG